rnacentral:rRNA from 1 species
UACGGAAGGCAGCAGGGGGGAAUAUUGCACAAUGGGCGCAAGCCUGAUGCAGCCAUGCCGCGUGUAUGAAGAAGGCCUUCGGGUUGUAAAGUACUUUCAGUCGUGAGGAAGGUGUUAAGGUUAAUAACCUUAGCAAUUGACGUUAGCGACAGAAGAAGCACCGGCUAACUCCGUGCCAGCAGCCGCGGUAAUACGGAGGGUGCGAGCGUUAAUCGGAAUUACUGGGCGUAAAGGGCACGCAGGCGGUUAAUUAAGUUGGAUGUGAAAUCCCCGGGCUUAACCUGGGAAUGGCAUUCAAGCUGGUUAGCUAGAGUCUUGUAGAGGGGGUAGAAUUCCAUGUGUAGCGGUGAAAUGCGUAGAGAUGUGGAGGAAUACCGGUGGCGAAGGCGGCCCCUGGACAAAGACUGACGCUCAUGUGCGAAAGCGUGGGGAGCAAACAGGGAUUAGAUACC